rnacentral:rRNA from 1 species
AUUGAACGCUGGCGGCAUGCCUUACACAUGCAAGUCGAACGGCAGCACGGGAGCAAUCCUGGUGGCGAGUGGCGAACGGGUGAGUAAUAUAUCGGAACGUGCCCAGUCGUGGGGGAUAACGUAGCGAAAGCUACGCUAAUACCGCAUACGAUCUAUGGAUGAAAGCGGGGGAUCGCAAGACCUCGCGCGAUUGGAGCGGCCGAUAUCAGAUUAGGUAGUUGGUGAGGUAAAGGCUCACCAAGCCGACGAUCUGUGGCUGGUCUGAGAGGACGACCAGCCACACUGGGACUGAGACACGGCCCAGACUCCUACGGGAGGCAGCAGUGGGGAAUUUUGGACAAUGGGCGCAAGCCUGAUCCAGCAAUGCCGCGUGCAGGAUGAAGGCCUUCGGGUUGUAAACUGCUUUUGUACGGAGCGAAAAGGCUUCCACUAAUACUGGGGGCUCAUGACGGUACCGUAAGAAUAAGCACCGGCUAACUACGUGCCAGCAGCCGCCGUAAGAC